AUAUCGUUUUCUUCUCUCCAUCUCAUGUUCAAAUCUCUGUUGUUUAUUUGUAUCGAUAUUGAAAUGGCUAUGUUGUGCUAAGUUUAUCCAAGCAUUGCUAAGUCCGUCCAUACAUGAACUCGAUACAAAGGACGAAAAUCUGCCAGGAGAAGCGUUCAGUUGAGCCGAAGUUUCGAAUCAGUUACAAACCCCAGUGAGAGAGAGAGGUCCCGUCAUUCUGAGCAGCCUUGCUCUACACGGCGGGCGGGAGACGUCGAGGAGGCGAGGAGAAGCUGCACCAUUUACAGAGCUUCACCACUUUCAUAGUGUGGACAUGAUUGAACUGCAUACGAUAUACAUCUUUGGCAGGAGCUUCGCCACAGAAUAACAAACACCUACUGGGGGAUCGAAUAUGGGACCUUCCGCCUCCCAGUCAGGAGCGCUACCCGUUACGCCACAUUGUUAUAUGUUCUUUAUUCCAGUUCUGUAAUCACUAUUCAUAUGUACAGAAAUCAGAAUUUUAUAAACGUAGAUGCCCCGAGCCAAUUUUGUUCUCCCUUUUCCUUCGUUGUGAGCCAAUUUUGUUCUCCCUUUUCUUUCCGUUCUAGUUUGGGGAUUAGUUUAUAUAUAUAGGUAUAGACAUAUGGAACUAUUUAUUCGCAAAUUGACAUGGCAAAUAGAAAUAUAUCCAUGUCAAAAAGUACGUGUUUAGAAUCAAAGAAUUAAUUACAUUUUCUCAUUUCAUGCGCAAGGGAUAAGUUAGGAAGGGGGUUCACAAGGACAGUCUCAGCAAGAACAGCUUUUGGGGCGAGCAGGGAGGGAAGUGGGUUGGGGGUUAGAUAGUCACGUGUCACACUGCCAUUAUCGUGUAUAUUAUGGUCAUGUAUAACACCAAACAGGGAAAGGCCCAAUCUGCCUCCAACCGCCUCUAACCGGCCUUGUCCCGUCCUCCGUCUCAAUCCCUGGUGGGAUCGGCGUUCUUAUGUUGUCACCAGUAACUUUUGUGCAUUCUCCAGGCCCAGCUGUCUCAUUCUCUCUCGAUUCCAUUUACCCUCCAAAGCCUUUCUCUGGGAUUCCCCAAAUUCUUUCACUCAAACUUCACUCAAAAGCUCAUCUUUCAUCCUUGUUCAUACCACCACAAACGUGUUUCUCUGCCAUUUCCCCACUUUUUCAUGCGAUGCCUAAAUCCAAUAAUUUCUACUACUUUUCAUGAGAUACCUCUAUUUAAUAAUUAAAUUUAAAAAAUAAAUUACCCUUACGAGCUUGAAUUUCAGUGUUCACAGGAAAAGGCUUUUCUCUUUUUAUAUGUAGGAGGGACACUGGCCAAGGGCAACAAAAAUCCCCCCCAAAAAAAAAAUGCUCAUUGAAAUGCCAGUCGCAUAAAAGGGUCCAAAGCGGCAGUCAAAAAUUGAAGGAUAAGGGUCUUGAAACCUCCCUCUUGAAGGAAUUCAAGUCAUAGGAAGCAAGAAAUACAGAAGCAGGCAGAGAGUUCGAGUAGGCUGCGCUACUGAACGUGAUCAUCAUUCUAUGGCUCGGGAUGAGGAGGCAUGUAGGCGGGAAGUGCGUAUGUUUAGGGUGCCACAGGUAUUAUUAAUCACUACUGCCACGCGUUAGGAAUUGAACGACUGACGAUUGCAUGCAGCUUUCCUUUUCGUAGAAAAUUUGU